AGCAGCAGCCGCGGUAAUACGGAGGGGGCUAGCGUUGUUCGGAAUUACUGGGCGUAAAGCGCACGUAGGCGGCUUGGUAAGUUAGAGGUGAAAGCCUGGAGCUCAACUCCAGAAUUGCCUUUAAGACUGCCGAGCUAGCAGGUGAGAGAGGUAAGUGGAAUUCCGAGUGUAGAGGUGAAAUUCGUAGAUAUUCGGAAGAACACCAGUGGCGAAGGCGGCUUACUGGCUCAUACUGGACGCUGAGGUGCGAAAGCGUGGGGAGCAAACAGGAUUAGAUACCCCCGUAGUCCCUGUCUCUUAUAC
rnacentral:rRNA from 1 species